GACGAACGCUGGCGGCGUGCCUAACACAUGCAAGUCGAACGAAGUGGCGAACGGGUGAGUAACGCGUAAUCAACCUGCCCUUCAGGGGGGGAAAACAGUUGGAAACGACUGCUAAUACCGCAUACUGAAGGAGGGGAUUGCGUGUGAUUAGCUAGUUGGGGGGGUAACGGCCCACCAAGGCGAUGGUCAGUAGCCGGUCUGCGAGGGUGAACGGCACCAAUGGGACUGAGGAAAGGCCCAGGCGCCUACGGGAGGCAGCAGUGGGGAAUCUUCCGCAAUUGAAGGAAGUCUGACGGAGCAACGCCGCGUGAGUGAUGACGGCCUUCGGGUUGUAAAGCUCUGUUAAUCGGGACGCGGUACCGGAAUAGAAAGCCACGGCUAACUACGUGCCAGCAGCCGCGGUAAUAC
rnacentral:rRNA from 1 species